GACGGAGGAUGCAAGCGUUAUCCGGAAUUAUUGGGCGUAAAGCGUCCGUAGGUGGCGACUUAAGUCUGUUGUUAAAGCGUGCAGCUUAACUGCAUAAGGGCAAUGGAAACUGAGGCGCUAGAGUGCGGUAGGGGUAGAGGGAAUUCCCAGUGUAGCGGUGAAAUGCGUAGAUAUUGGGAAGAACACCAGUGGCGAAGGCGCUCUACUGGGCCGUAACUGACACUGAUGGACGAAAGCUAGGGGAGCGAAUGGG
rnacentral:rRNA from 1 species